CCCGCAUCCUCCCUUCCCUGCCCACCCCACCUCGGUGGGGGAGGGGUCCCCCCAUGCCAACAGCACACUGCUGCCCACCUUCAUAAGGGGGAUUUCAGUGUUCUCUCGCACCGCUCGGGGUCCUGCCUGCAGAAUGACUUUGGUCCCAUUAAACCUCUUCGUUAACGACGUGGGCGAUGGGGCGGAGCGCCCCAAGGAAGUCUGCGGGUGAUGCAAUGCGGGGAGAAGUGGAUGAUGGAUGGCUGAGCUCAUGCUGCCACCCAGAGGACUCUGGGCACGAUGGAGAAAUGGGCUGCAGGAACCCCAUGGAGCUCAGCAAGGAGCAGUGCGCGGAGAUAUGGUGGGCAUAUUGGAUGAAAUGAGCUCCAGAGGUUCCCUACAACCCCAACCAUCCCAUGACCGUGUGGGGUUCUUUCCAAACCCAACCAUCCCAUGGUCCUAUAGUGUUCCUUCCAACCCCAACCAUCCCAUGUUCCUAUGCGAUUCCUUCCAACCCCAACCAUCCCAUUAUUAUGUGAGGUUCCUUCCAACCCCAACCAUCCCAUAGUCCUGUGAGGUUCCACCCAACCCCAACCAUCCCAUUAUCAUAUGAGAUUCCUUCCAACCCCAACCACCCAUGAUCCUAUGAAGUUCCUUCCAACCCCAACCAUCCCAUUAUCAUGUGAGGUUCCUUCCAACCACAACCAUCCUAUUAUCAUGUGAGAUUCCUUCCAACCCCAACCAUCCCAUGGUCCUGUGGGGCUCUUUCCAACCCCAACCAUCCCAUGAUCCUAUAGUGUUUCUUCCAAUCCCAACCAUUCCAUGGUCCUGUGAGAUUCCUUCCAACCCCAACCAUCCCAUGAUCCUGAGAGGUUCCUUCCAACCCCAACCAUCCCAUGGCCCUAUGAAAUUCCUUCCAACCCCAACCAUCCCAUUAUCCUGUGAAGUUCCUUCCAACCCCAACCAUUCCAUGGUCCUAUAGUGUUCCUUCCAACCCCAACCAUCCCAUGAUCCUAUAGUGUUCCUUCCAACCCCAACCAUCCCAUGGUCCUGUGGGGCUCCUUCCAACCCCAACCAUCCCAUGGCCCUAUGGUGUUCCUUCCAACCCCAACCAUCCCAUGGUCCUAUGAAGUUCCUACCAACCUCAACCAUCCCAUGGUCCUAUGGAGUUCCUUCCAACCCCAACCAUCCCACAGCCCUGUGGGGCUCCUUCCAACCCAACCAUCCCAUGGUCUAAUAGUGUUCCUUCCAACCCCAACAAGUCCGUGGUCCUAUGGUGUUACUUCCAACCCCAACCAUCCCAUGGUCUUGUGGGGCUCUUUCCAAUCCCAACCAUCCCAUGAUCCUACAAAGUUCCUUCCAACCCCAACCAUUCCAUGACCCUGUGGGGUUCCACCCAACCCCAACCAUCCCAUGGUCCUAUAGUGUUCCUUCCAACCCCAACCAUCCCAUACCCCUAUGGUGUCCCUUCCAACCCCAACCAUCCCACAACCCUGUGGGGCUCCUUCCAACCCCAACGAUCCCAUGGCCCUGUGGUGUCCCUUCCAACCCCAACCAUCCCAUGGUCCUGUGGGGUUGAUCCAUUGGGAUCUAUAUGGGAUCUGUAUGGGAUCAAGUGGGACCUAUGGGAUCUCUGUGGGAUCCAUUGGGUUCCAUGGGGCCUGUAUGGGAUCUCUGUGGGAUCUAUUGGGAUCUAUGGGGUCUGUAUGGGAUCUGUAUGUGUUCCAUUUGGAUCUAUGGCGUCUCUAUGGGAUCUAUUGGUUUCUAUGGGGUCUCUAUCAGAUCUCUAUGGGAUCCAGUGGGAUCCACGACGUCCCUUUUGGAUCUCUAUGGGAUCCAGUGGGAUCUAUGGGGUCUCUAUGGGAUCUCUGUGGGAUCUCUAUGGGAUCCAUUGGGAUCUAUGGGGUCUGUAUGGGAUCCCGUGGGAUCUAUGGGGUCUCUAUUGGAUCUGUAUGGGAUCCAUUUGGAUCUAUGGGGUCUUUAUGGGAUCCAUUGGGUUCUAUGGGGUCUUUAUAGGAUUUCUAUGGGAUCCAGUAGGAUCCACAGGGUCUCUAUGGGGUCUCUAUGGGAUCCAUUUGGAUCUAUCGGGUCUCUGUGGGAUCUCUGUGGGAUCUCUAUGGGAUCCAGUGGGAUCUAUGGGGUCUCUGGGGGAUCUCUAUGGGAUCCAGUGGGAUUCACGGGGUCUGUAUGGGAUCUGUAUGGGAUCCCGUGGGAUCGAUGGGGUCUCCAUGGGAUCUCUGUGGGAUCCAUUGGGUUCUAUGGGGUCUCUAUGGGAUCUCUACGGGAUCCAUUGGGAUCUAUGGGGUCUCUGUGGGAUCUGUAUGGGAUCCAGUGAGAUUCACGGGGUCUCUAUGGGAUCUGUAUGGGAUCCAUUUGGAUCUAUGGGAUCUCUAUGGGAUCCAGUGGGAUCUAUGGGGUCUCUAUGGGAUCUCUAUGGGAUCCAUUGGGUUCUAUGGGGUCUCUAUGGGAUUCAUUGGGAUCUAUGGGGUCUAUAUGGGAUCUCUGCGAGAUCCGUUGGGUUCUAUGGCGUCUCUAUGGGGUCUCUAUGGGAUCCAUUGGGAUCUAUGGGAUCUCUAUGGGAUCCCUCUGGCAUAUAUGGGUUCUCUGUGGGAUCUCUGUGGGAUCCCAAUAGGAUCUGUGGGUCCCCACAGUGUCGUCGUUGUCCCCCCCCAUAAAGAACAUAAGCGACGCUAUGGGGCACAGCAGCGUUUAUUGGACGGCACCACGAGGGGGGGAGAGAGGGGGCAGACAACGCUGUGGGGCACGGGGAGGGGGGGGGGAAUCUAUGGGGCAGAGGGGGGGUGAAUCUAUGGGGCAGAAGGGGGUGAUGCUAUGGGGCACGGGGGGGGAAUCUAUGGGGCAGAGGGGGGCGAUGCUAUGGAGUGGGAUGGCAAUGAUGUGGGGCACAGAGGGGGCGCUGUGGGGUAGAGGGGGCGAUGCUAUGGGGGAGAAGGGGCAAUUCUAUGGGGCAGAGAGGGACGAUGCUGUGGGCCAGAGAGGUGAUGGUAUGGGGCAGAGGGGGCGAUGCUAUGGGGCUGGUGGUGAUGCUAUGGGGCAGAGGGGGAUGUUGCUAUGGGGCAGAGGGGGGUGAUGCUAUGGGGCAGAGAGGGACGAUGCUAUGGGGCACAGAGGGAGGAUGCUAUGGGGCAGAGGGGGUGAUGCUAUGGGGCACGGGGGGGGGAAUCUAUGGGGCAGAGGGGGGCGAUGCUAUGGGGUGGGAUGGCAAUGAUGUGGGGCAUAGAGGGGGCGCUGUGGGGCAGAGGGGGGCGUUGCUAUGGGGCAGAGGGGGGUGAUGGUGUGGGGCAGAGGGGGGCGAUGCUAUGGGGCGGAGAGGGUGAUGCUGUGGGGCAGAGGGGGGCGAUGUUAUGGGGCGGAGAGGGAGAUGCUAUGGAGCAGAGGGGUGAUGGUAUGGGGGGGGGAUCUAUGGGGCAGGGGGGGGCGAAUCUAUGGGGCAGAAGAGGAUGAUGCUACGGGGUGGGAUGGCAAUGAUGUGGGGCACAGAGGGGGCGCUGUGGGGCAGAGUGCGGCGUUGCUAUGGGGCAGAGGGGGGGUGAUGCUAUGGGGCAGAGAGGCUGAUGCUAUGGGGCAGAGAAGGAGAAUGCUAUGGGGCAGAGAGGGUGAUGCUAUGGGGCACGGGAGGGGGAAUCUAUGGGGCAGAGGGGGGCGAUGCUAUGGGGUGGGAUGGCAAUGAUGUGGGGCACAGAGGGGGCACUGUGGGGCAGAGGGGGCGAUGCUAUGGGGGAGAAGGGGCAAUUCUAUGGGGCAGAGGGGGACGAUGCUGUGGGUCAGAGAGGUGAUGGUAUGGGGCAGAGGGGGCGAUGCUAUGGGGCUGGUCGUGAUGCUAUGGGGCAGAGGGGGAUGUUGCUAUGGGGCAGAGGGGGGUGAUGCUAUGGGGCAGAGGGGUGAUGCUAUGGGGCAGAGGGGCAAUGCUAUGGGGCAGGAGAGGUGAUGCUAUGGGGUGGGAUGGCAACGAUGUGCGGCAUAGAGGGGGCGCUGAGGGGCAGAGGGGGGGCGUUGCUAUGGGGCAGAGGGGGGUGAUGCUAUGGGGCAGAGAGGCUGAUGCUAUGGGGCAGAGAGGGAGAAUGCUAUGGGGCAGAGAGGGUGAUGCUAUGGGGCACGGGAGGGGGAAUCUAUGGGGCAGAGGGGGGCGAUGCUAUGGGGUGGGAUGGCAAUGAUGUGGGGCACAGAGGGGGCACUGUGGGGCAGAGGGGGCGAUGCUAUGGGGGAGAAGGGGCAAUUCUAUGGGGCAGAGGGGGAUGAUGCUGUGGGUCAGAGGGGUGAUGCUAUGGGGCAGAGAGGGACGAUGCUAUGGGGCAGGAGAGGUGAUGCUAUGGGGUGGGAUGGCAAUGAUGCGGGGCAUAGAGGGGGCGCUGAGGGGCAGAGGGGGGCGUUGCUAUGGGGCAGAGGGGGGCGAUGCUGUGGGGCAGAGGGGGCAAUGCUAUGGGGCAGAGGGGUGAUGCUAUGGGGCAGAGGGGGGUGAUGCUAUGGGGCAGAGGGUCAAUGCUAUGGGGCAGACGAGGGCGAUGCUGUGGGGCAGAGAGGGCAAUGCUAUGGGGCAGGGGGGGAAUCUAUGGGGCAGAGGGGGAUGAUGCUGUGGGGCAGAGAGAAUGCUAUGGGGUAGAGGAGGGCGAUGCUAUGGGGCAGAGAGGGAGAUGCUAUGGGGUAGAGGGCGGUGAUGCUAUGGGGCAGAGGGGGCAAUGCUAUGGGGCAGAAGGGGUGAUGCUAUGGGGUGGGAUGGCAAUGAUGUGGGGCACAGAGGGGGGCGCUGUGGGGCAGAGGGGGCGAUGCUAUGGGGGAGAAGGGGCAAUUCUAUGAGGCAGAGAGGGACGAUGCUGUGGGCCAGAGAGGUGAUGGUAUGGGGCAGAGGGGGCGAUGCUAUGGGGCUGGUGGUGAUGCUAUGGGGCAGAGGGGGAUGUUGCUAUGGGGCAGAGGGGAGUGAUGCUAUGGGGCAGAGGGGUGAUGCUAUGGGGCAGAGGGGCAAUGCUAUGGGGCAGGAGAGGUGAUGCUAUGGGGUGGGAUGGCAAUGAUGUGCGGCAUAGAGGGGGCGCUGAGGGGCAGAGGGGGGCGUUGCUAUGGGGCAGAGGGGGGUGAUGCUAUGGGGCAGAGAGGCUGAUGCUAUGGGGCAGAGAGGGAGAAUGCUAUGGGGCAGAGAGGGUGAUGCUAUGGGGCACGGGAGGGGGAAUCUAUGGGGCAGAGGGGGGCGAUGCUAUGGGGUGGGAUGGCAAUGAUGUGGGGCACAGAGGGGGCACUGUGGGGCAGAGGGGGCGAUGCUAUGGGGGAGAAGGGGCAAUUCUAUGGGGCAGAGAGGGACGAUGCUGUGGGCCAGAGAGGUGAUGGUAUGGGGCAGAGGGGGCGAUGCUAUGGGGCUGGUGGUGAUGCUAUGGGGCAGAGGGGGAUGUUGCUAUGGGGCAGAGGGGGGUGAUGCUAUGGGGCAGAGAGGGACGAUGCUAUGGGGCACAGAGGGAGGAUGCUAUGGGGCAGAGGGGGUGAUGCUAUGGGGCACGGGGGGGGGAAUCUAUGGGGCAGAGGGGGGCGAUGCUAUGGGGUGGGAUGGCAAUGAUGUGGGGCAUAGAGGGGGCGCUGUGGGGCAGAGGGGGGCGUUGCUAUGGGGCAGAGGGGGGUGAUGGUGUGGGGCAGAGGGGGGCGAUGCUAUGGGGCGGAGAGGGUGAUGCUGUGGGGCAGAGGGGGGCGAUGUUAUGGGGCGGAGAGGGAGAUGCUAUGGAGCAGAGGGGUGAUGGUAUGGGGGGGGGAUCUAUGGGGCAGGGGGGGGCGAAUCUAUGGGGCAGAAGAGGAUGAUGCUACGGGGUGGGAUGGCAAUGAUGUGGGGCACAGAGGGGGCGCUGUGGGGCAGAGUGCGGCGUUGCUAUGGGGCAGAGGGGGGGGUGAUGCUAUGGGGCAGAGAGGCUGAUGCUAUGGGGCAGAGAAGGAGAAUGCUAUGGGGCAGAGAGGGUGAUGCUAUGGGGCACGGGAGGGGGAAUCUAUGGGGCAGAGGGGGGCGAUGCUAUGGGGUGGGAUGGCAAUGAUGUGGGGCACAGAGGGGGCACUGUGGGGCAGAGUGGGGCGUUGCUAUGGGGCAGAGGGGGGUGAAGCUGUGGAGCAGAGUGGUGAUGCUAUGGGGCAGAGGGGGGAUGGGGCUAUGGGGCAGGGGAGGCUGAGAAGUGGGGCAGGGUGGGAUGACGCUAUGGGGCACUGUGGGGCGCGGAGGGGCGGUGCUGCUGUGGGGCUGAGCAGAGGUUUGGGGGCUGAAGUUGUGGGGCACAACAGGGGGUGCAAACGGGGCUGCCCCAUAGAUUUGGGGGCUGCCCCAUAAGUGUGCAUAUGUGGGUCCGGAGCUGCCCCAUAGAUUGCAUAGCUGCAGUUGUGGGGCUGCCCCAUAAGUGUGCGUAUGUGGGUCUGGGGCUGCCCCAUAAGUGGGUACCUAGAGCUGUGGGGCUGCCCCAUAGAUUGCAUAGCGGGGGCUGUGGGGCUGCCCCAUAAGUGUGCGUAUGUGGGUCAGGGGCUGCCCCACAGAUUGCAUAGGGGCGGUUGUGGGGCUGCCCCAUAAGUGUGCGUAUGUGGGUCAGGGGCUGCCCCAUAGAUUGCAUAGCGGGGGCUGUGGGGCUGCCCCAUAAGUGUGCGUAUGUGGGUCAGGGGCCACCCCAUAGAUUGCAUAGUGGGGGUUGUGGGGCUGCCCCAUAGCAUAUGUGGGUCAGGGGCUGUCCCAUAAGUGUGCGUAUGUGGGUCUGGGGCUGCCCCAUAAGUGAGUGCCUCGAGCUGUGGGGCUGCCCCAUAGAUUGCAUAGCAGCAGUUGUGGGGCUGCCCCGUAAGCGUGCGUAUGUGGGUCUGGGGCUGCCCCAUAGACUGCAUAGGGGCGGUUGUGGGGCCGCCCCAUAAGUGUGAAUAUGUGGGUCAGGGGCUGCCCCAUAGAUUGCAUAGCGGGGGCUGUGGGGCUGCCCCAUAAGUGUGCGUAUGUGGGUCAGGGGCUGCCCCAUAGAUUGCAUAGUGGGGGUUGUGGGGCUGCCCCAUAGCAUAUGUGGGUCAGGGGCUGCCCUGUAAGUGUGCGUAUGUGGGUCUGGGGCUGCCCCAUAGAUUGCAUAGCGGGGGCUGUGGGGCUGCCCCAUAGCAUUUGUGGGUCAGGAGCUGUCCCAUAAGUGUGCGUAUGUGGGUCUGGGGCUGCCCCAUAAGUGAGUGCCUCGAGCUGUGGGGCUGCCCCAUAGAUUGCAUAGCAGCAGUUGUGGGGCUGCCCCGUAAGUGUGCGUAUGUGGGGCAGGAGCUGCCCCAUAGAUUGCAUAGCUGCAGUUGUGGGGCUGCCCCAUAAGUGUGCGUAUGUGGGUCAGGGGCCGCCCCAUAGAUUGCAUAGUGGGGGCUGUGGGGCUGCCCCAUAGCAUAUGUGGGUCAGGAGCUGCCCCAUAAGUGUGCGUAUGUGGAUCGAAGGCUACCCCAUAGAUUGCAUAGCGGGGGCUGUGGGGCUGCCCCAUAAGUGUGUAUGUGGGGCUGCCCCAUAGUGCCCACCUCACUCCAUAGUGCUGCCCCAUAGAGCUGCCCUAUAGCUCUGCCCCAUAGUGCUGCCCCAGAUCUCUGCCCCAUAGUGCUGCCCCAUAGCACUGCCCCCCAUGGCUGCCCCAUAGCCCUACCCUAUAGCCCUACCCCACAGCUCUUCCCCAUAGCCCUACCCCACAGUGCUGCCCCACAGCGCUGCCCCAUAGCACUGUCCCAUAGUGCUGCCCCACAGCUCUGCCCCAUAGCCCUGCCCCAUAGCGCUGCCCCACAGUGCUGCCCCAUAGCACUGUCCCAUAGUGCUGCCCCAUAGCCCAGCCCCAUAGAGCUGCCCCACAGCACUUCCCCAUAGCCCCGCUCCAUAGCGCUGCCCCACAGCCCUGCCCCAUAGCACUGCCCCAAAGCGCUGCCCCAUAGCCCUACCCCACAGCUCUGCCCCAUAACCCUGCCCCACAUCCCUUCCCCACAUCCCUGCCCCACAGCCCUGCCCCAUAGCCCAGCCCCAUAGCACUACCCCAUAGCUUCCCUAUAGCCCUGCCCCACAGCGCUGCCCCAUAGCUCUGCCCCAUAGCCCAGCCCCAUAACUGUCCCAUAACUUCUUCAUAACUUUGCCCCAUAGCAACCCAAUAGCUCAGCCCCAUAGCAACCCCACAGCUGCCCCAUAGCAGCCCCACAGCUGCCCCAUUACCCUUCCCUAUAGCAACCCUAUAGCUGCCCCAUAGCCCAGCCCCAUAGCAGCCCCAUAACCCUGCCCCAUAACUGCCCCACAGCAGCCCCACAUCUGCCCCAUAGCCCUGCCCCCCAGCUGCCCCAUAGCAGCCCCAUAGCCCAGCCCCAUAGCAGCCCCAUAGCUUCCCCUUAUCCCUGCCCCAUAACAGCCCCAUAGGUGCCCCAUAGCUCUGCCCCAUAGCUGCCCCAUAGCUGCCCCAUAGGUGCCCCCCAGCUGCCCCAUAGCCCCCCAGCUGCCCCAUAGCAGCCCCAUAGGUGCCCCAUAGCAGCCCCACGGCUGCCCCAUAGGUGCCCCCCAGCUGCCCCAUAGCAGCCCCAUAGGUGCCCCAUAGCAGCCCCACUGCUGCCCCAUAGCAUCACCUCAGCUCUGCCCCAUAGCAGCCCCAUAGGUUCCCCACAGCUGCCCCAUAGCUGCCCCACAGCAUCACCACAGCUCAGCAGCCCCAUAGCAGCCCCACAGCUGCCCCAUAGCAGCUCAGUGUGCCUCAGUGCCCCCCAGCUGCCCCAUAGCCCCCCAGCUGCCCCAUAGCAGCCCCGCAGGUGCCCCAUAGCAGCCCCCCAGCUGCCCCAUAGGUGCCCCCCAGCAGCCCCAUAGCAGCCCCAUAGGUGCCCCAUAGCAUCACCACAGCUCUGCCCCAUAGCAGCCCCAUAGGUGUCCCCCAGCUGCCCCAUAGCCCCCCAGCUGCCCCAUAGCAGCCCUACAGCUGCCCCAUAGCCCCCCAGGAGCCCCAUAGGUGCCCCAUAGCAGCCCCACAGCUGCCCCAUAGCCCCCCAGCAGCCCCAUAGGUGCCCCACAGCUGCCCCACAGCUGCCCCAUAGCAGCCCAAUAGGUGCCCCCCAGCUGCCCCAUAGCCCCCCAUAGCCCCCAUAGCAGCUCAGUGUGCCUCAGUGCCCCCCAGCUGCCCCAUAGCAGCCCCAUAGGUGCCCCAUAGCAGCCCCCCAGCUGCCCCAUAGCAGCCCCAUAGGUGUCCCCCAGCUGCCCCAUAGCCCUCUAGCUGCCCCAUAGCAGCCCCAUAGGUGCCCCAUAGCCCCACAGCUGCCCCAUAGCAGCCCAAUAGGUGCCCCCCAGCUGCCCCAUAGCCCCCCAUAGCCCCCAUAGCAGCUCAGUGUGCCUCAGUGCCCCCCAGCUGCCCCAUAGCAGCCCCAUAGGUGUCCCAUAGCCCCCCAGCUGCCCCAUAGCAGCCCCAUAGGUACCCCAUAGGUGCCCCAUAGCAGCCCCACAGCUGACCCACAGCUGCCCCAUAGCAGCCCCAUAGCAGCUCAGUGUGCCUCAGUGCCCCCCAGCUGCCCCAUAGCAGCCCCAUAGGUGCCCCAUAGCCCCCCAGCUGCCCCAUAGCAGCCCCAUAGGUACCCCAUAGGUGCCCCAUAGCAGCCCCACAGCUGCCCCACAGCUGCCCCAUAGCAGCCCCAUAGCAGCUCAGUGUGCCUCAGUGCCCUCCCAGUACUCGCGGGCCCCGGUGGGUUUGGGGCUGUGCGCCCCCCCUUCGCCCCCAUCCUCCUCGGGGGUCCCAAAACCGCCACCGCCGGGGGUCAGAAGGAUGAAUACGUCCUGGGGGGGCAACGGGGGUCAGUGGGGGUCAUGGGGGGGCAAUGGGGGGGAAAUGGGGGGCAAUGGGGGGCAAUGGGGGCAAUGGGGGAAAUGGGGGAAAUGGGGGG
ensembl:lncRNA